GAUUAACGCUGGCGGCGUGCAUAACACAUGCCAGUCGAACGAUGAAACUUAAAUGAUUUCUUCGGAAUGAACUUAAGUGGAUUAGUGGCGGACGGGUGAGUAACGCGUGAGUAACCUGCCUUACACAAGGGGAUAGCCGUUGGAAACGACGAAUAAUACCCUAUGAAACUAUCACUUCGCAUGAAGCGAUAGUCAAAGUGUUAGCGGUGUAAGAUGGACUUGCGUCUGAUUAGCUAGUUGGUGAGAAAAAAGCCCACCAAGGCAACGAUCAGUAGCCGGCUUGAGAGAGUGUACGGCCACAUUGGGACUGAGACACGGCCCAGACUCCUACGGGAGGCAGCAGUGGGGAAUUUUGCACAAUGGGGGAAACCCUGAAGCAGCGACGCCGCGUGAUUUAGAAGGCCUUCGGGUUGUAAAAAUCUUUUGUAUAGGAAGAAAAUGACAGUACUAUACGAAUAAGGUCCGGCUAAUUACGUG
rnacentral:rRNA from 1 species